rnacentral:rRNA from 1 species
GGCCUAACACAUGCAAGUCGAGCGGAAACGACACUAACAAUCCUUCGGGUGCGUUAAUGGGCGUCGAGCGGCGGACGGGUGAGUAAUGCCUAGGAAAUUGCCUUGAUGUGGGGGAUAACCAUUGGAAACGAUGGCUAAUACCGCAUAAUGCCUACGGGCCAAAGAGGGGGACCUUCGGGCCUCUCGCGUCAAGAUAUGCCUAGGUGGGAUUAGCUAGUUGGUGAGGUAAUGGCUCACCAAGGCGACGAUCCCUAGCUGGUCUGAGAGGAUGAUCAGCCACACUGGAACUGAGACACGGUCCAGACUCCUACGGGAGGCAGCAGUGGGGAAUAUUGCACAAUGGGCGAAAGCCUGAUGCAGCCAUGCCGCGUGUAUGAAGAAGGCCUUCGGGUUGUAAAGUACUUUCAGUUGUGAGGAAGGGGGUAGCGUUAAUAGCGCUAUCUCUUGACGUUAGCAACAGAAGAAGCACCGGCUAACUCCGUGCCAGCAGCCGCGGUAAUACGGAGGGUGCGAGCGUUAAUCGGAAUUACUGGGCGUAAAGCGCAUGCAGGUGGUUCAUUAAGUCAGAUGUGAAAGCCCGGGGCUCAACCUCGGAACUGCAUUUGAAACUGGUGAACUAGAGUACUGUAGAGGGGGGUAGAAUUUCAGGUGUAGCGGUGAAAUGCGUAGAGAUCUGAAGGAAUACCAGUGGCGAAGGCGGCCCCCUGGGACAGAUACUGACACUCAGAUGCGAAAGCGUG